CCAGAUCUAGCUCAGUGGUAGAGUGCUUGCCUAGCACAUAGGAGGCCUUGGGUUAAAUUCCCAAUACUGGA
rnacentral:tRNA from 1 species